CUCACGCGGCCCCGGACACAGCCUGGCGGCCACGGCCGGCCCCGUCACGCGCGGCAGCCUCGCGCCGACCCGGCCGUCAGUCGCACACGCCGGCUGCCCAGCCCACUGUCCCGCACAGGCCCGGCCGCAGCAGUUCCCUCAAGCCCGCUUCCGGAGCGCCGCCCGCGCAGCGACCGGGAGGAGAGCAGCCACUCCCUAGACUCACCCCUGAAAUCUAGCUGCCCCUGUCACAGAACACCGCCCAAACUAAAGACACCUGCGGUCACAGUGGAGCCUGUCUGACGGAUGUUGAGCCAGGCAGAGCCAGACAGAGCAGGACAACGUACUGCACGUCAGAGGUAAGAGGCUCAGCAGAGCACUCAGCUGAUGCUAGAGAAAGAUCCAGGCUUCCAGGAAUGUGUGAGUACAUAUACGUGUGUGUUCGGGCUUUCCCCCCAUCUGGGUGGUGACUAGUGUCUGGGGCUACCUCUGACUUUGUCUUGCAUGUGUGUGUGUGUGUGUGUUUUGAUCCCCUCAAGUGCAACCCCCAAGGAGCUGAGAAUUCAGCCUGCAGUUGAGGUGUUUGUGCUAGUAGGAUUCAGCUACCCAAGGGGAGGUGGAGUGGCUGAGAUGGGCUGCCACCUAGUGACAGGCCUUUAAAGUAGGAGGGAGGGAAUGAAAGUUGACCCAAUGCCCGGCCCAGCAUUACAAGGUUUACAACAUGUUAUCACACCUGAUCCUCAUAAUUACUCUAAUCAGGGAUGAUUGUUCCCAAUUUACUGAUAAGAAACAGAUUCAGAGAAGUUCUACAGCUUGCCCCAAGGCCACAUAACUAACAAAUGGGGAUUUGAACCCAAAUCUGUCUGAUGCCAUGCAUUUUCUGCCUCACAGGAAAGCCACUGGCUUCAGUAGGUGCUGGUGGUCAGUGGACAGUGGACACGGAGGCUAGCUGGCUAAUCAGCAAGGGUGAGGGGAGGCCCUGGGGGUGGCUGGCUCUGGGAGUGGCUGGCCCUGGGCACAGGAAACCUGAGUGCAGAACUUGAGUGCUCGCAGCGUGUGGUUUGGGCUUGCUGGGGCUUGAAGUGGUGCUUGCCCCUGUCUGCGGCCUUGAGCUUCUCUGUGCUAGGUGUCGGAACCAUGAGUCAGGAGAACAAGAGAAACUCAGCACCAGCGCCCCGGGAAUUCACAGACAUUAGAUAAACACUUUGUUAUGUAGGGACAAUUAUCAUGGAGGCUAUGGAGAAAAAGAACAGAGGACUAUGAGCUAAAACAUUAGGGAGACUUACUUGAGAUCUAGUAGACAAGAAGACAUCAGCAGAGGCCUAAAGGAUGUGAGGAGAUGGCUGGGUGAAUUAUUAGAGGUGGGUUGGAGGAAAGUACUUUCCAGGCAGAGGUAACAGCAUGUACAAAGGCCCUGAGACCAGAAAGAGCUUAGUAAGUUUAGGAAUAGAAAGAGGGCUAGAGUUUACUAAAUGAGAGGGAACACGGGAGGUGAUGAGGCCAGGAAGACAGGUUGGGGCUGACUGGGCCCCUCCCUGCUUAUCUGAUCUAAUCCGUUUUUCCAGGAGGCCUCCUAAGUGCUGCAGCCCUCAUUUACUUCUUGGGCCAACUUGGGCAGCCUGUGGGUGGUGAUGCUUUUUAAAAAUUUCCGUUUUUCCAUUUUCUGAGAGCUUCCCGACAUGUAGCCCAUGCUUCCUUGCUUUUGCUUUUACUUUUGCCUCUGGGUCCGGGCCUCCGGGGGCUCCAGAAAUCCCUGCCAACAGGAUCUCAAGUUUUCAGUCUAGUGCCAGGCUCUUAAUCAGGAAGCAGGGCCCCAUUUUUUCCUGGGACUUCUGAGCCAGCAUCCCAGUCUCAGGUGCCUCCCUCCACCAAAGUAGGUUCAGGAAAAGCAGGGUGUGCAGAGGGUGUGACUGGUAUGGGCUUCCCCCAGCUCAGCAUAUAUAUGGGUACGUGGGUGUUACUGGCAGUGCCUGCAGCUGCGCUGGCUGGGAGGGAGCAGCCCAGCACCCACGCAAGGCCCACACAGAUGACAUCACCAAAGCUAGCCCGGCUUGGGCCUAUUUCUGUCAACACUCAUGCUUCAGCAUGCUCCGGCUAUGCCAGUACCUGUGCCUGGAGUUUGGGGGGGAGUCCCAGCCGAGUUGCCCCUUUGGCCUUGUGGGCCUGACCCCACAGAUGUUUAUUUAGCAAACACUUAGAACAGCACUUGGCAUGUAGUAUAACUGCUUUACCCCCUUGGCUCAUUUACUCUUCAUUACAGCACUGAGAUAAGUUCUCUCAUUAUCCCCAUUUCACAGAAAAAAAAUUGAGGCAUGGAGAGGUUGAGAGGCAUACUCGUGGACACAUAGCUAAGAGGUGGCAGAGAUGGGAUUCAAACCCAUCCAGAGUCCAUGCUGUGUUGCCUUCCAUGUAGAUUAUACGGGCACCAGGUACAGAGUGGAAAAGGAAGGGAAUGGAAACACUUGCAAGAAGAUGUCUGUAUAACGGGAAUCCUGGGUGGAAAAGCGGAACAAACCAAGAUGAGUAUAUAAAGAUGUGAAUGAGCUCAGGACAAUCUUUUCAGUAACUGCAGCAUGUGUUACUGUGGCUCUCAGAAGUCCUGAUCCUUUCAAUGACCUGGGAGACCAGAAGUAGUGUAAUGCUGGCUAUGACCACAAGCAGACCAAUCCAAGUUUCUAGAAAGGGGGCAAGGACAGGGUACAUCAAAGGGACACAUUUCAGCUGUGCUUUUUUACCCUUGACUAACCAAAUUUUUUAAAUUGUCAAAAAUCUGUAAGUCAUAUCAUGCUUGAGUUAAAGUUUUUGAAGGAGCAGAGAUGGAGCAGAAAGGUGUAACAGUAUUACAUGCAAGAAGUGAAUGAGCAAAAUAUAGAUACAAGAGCAAGCAAAGAAUCUCAGGAGAAAUCCCUGGAGGCUGAGCAGAAAGGUGUACAGCAGAGCCCCAUGAUGGUGGCAGCCUCCCAUAAACUGGACCUAAAGUCCUCCAUGAAGUAAAACCACCAGUUACCACCCUUCACCCUCUAUGACAAAAACUUACUCUUCACAGACUUUUGGGUCAGAUCAGGUCAAUGAAUUCAUGCUUUAAUCAUCACUGUACUCCAAACAUGUAGCAAUGAAAGUGCUCCAUGCAAGAAGGGGCAACCUGAAACCAGGGGCUGUGUUAGCAUGGGCUGAGCUGGGUUAGAAGACUCGCUCCAAGACAGGAGGUAUGAGCAGAGAAGUGGAGAGCAAAGAGGAGGAAAAGGGAAUGAUACACAGACAAAAACUACUUCCCGUUCAAAAGGGUUUACAAACAAAUUCCAAAAUAUAUGAGGAAAAUGGGUUAGAAGAACUGCCAACAAAAUAAUUAGUACAUGAAUUCACUUCAGGUAACAUUUUAAAGAACAAAGACUUUCAAGAGAAAAAAAUAUAUAUAACAUCUACUAAAAAGGACAAAAGAAUGAUAAAAUAAGCACAUGUCUUAAAUGAAAUGAAAUGAAAUCAGGUAAAUAUGAAAUAAAAAUAAUUAGAAAUCCUGAAAACAAAAAUAAUAAUUGAAACAAAUUAUAGGUGUGAUAAACUUUAGAUUGGAUAUAAUCAAAAAGAGAAUUAGUGAACAGAAGUAAGUCUCUAGAACUCCCCUGAAAAUGAAGACCAGACCUAAAGAGACAAAUAAAUGAGAGGAAUGGCCUAGAAGCUAUGGAAGAAAUAAUGGCCGAGAGUUUUCUAGAAUAAAAAUGCUUUUGUCCUCAAAUUGAAAGUCUAGUCUGAGUAUCUUUAAAAAUAUAUGUAUAUUUAGAUACACCAUAGAUCGCCAAUAAUAAAGAUGCAUUCUUUACUGGAGAAAAGACAGAUCAUAAGAACGAAGAUAAAGAAACUUUCAGAUAAAAGAAAAAUUUGCCACCUAUGGAAACUCACUAAAUAAAUGAUAAAGGAUGUAUUUCAACAAGUAAACCCAGAGAGAAGGUACUGAGUACAGAAAUUAAUCAAGUAUUUGACUGUGACAAUAGCUGACUAGUGAGAAGUUAAGGUUUCAUGGAUGAUUGUUUUUUUAAAAAUAUAAAAAUAGUGUCACUAUAUAGAAACUCCAAAAAGACACAGACACUUUAAGAGUUCAGCAAUGUUGCCAGAUAGAAGAUCAAUAUUAAAAAAAUCAACAGCAUUACCACUCCAGUAACAACAAACAAAAAUGUAACAACGAAAAAUACUUAUUCAAUAGCACAAAAAACUAUAAGGUCUCUAAGAAAAGUUUAAAAAAAUGUGUAAUACCUCUAUGGAGAAAAUUACAAAACAAUAUUGAAGGGUAUAUUCAAAGAUAUGAAUUAAUAGAGAGGUAUAACAUGUUCAUGGAUUGGAAGAUUCAGUAAAAUAAUCUCAAUAUUUUCUCCCUAUUAAUCUAUAAUUUCAAUGCAAUCUUAUAAGAAAAGUCUCAAUCGUCUUCAUUAGAACUUGACAAAUUUAUCUCAGAAUUAAUGUGGAACAGCAGAGAGCCAAGACAAUUUUGAAGAAUGAGACGAAGGAAACUUGUCCGACUCAAUAGUAAGAGUUUAUAAAGCUACAGUAGUUGAGACAGUAUGCUACUGAUGAAGAAACAGACAAAUGAAACAGGACAGAGAGCCCAGAAACAAUAUGACAUAUGUGUACAAAUAUGAUAUAUGACAGAGGGGUAACACAACUAAAUUGUUCUGGGACAACUGGUUAUGCAUUUGGGAAAAAUACAUUAGAUCUCAACCUCACACCAUACACAAAAAUACAUUCUAGUGGAUCAAAGAUCCAAAUAUAAAAAGCAAAAUCUUAGAAACAUAUGGAAAAAAGAGAAACCUGUGCUCAAUGUUGGGAGGAUGGUGGUGAUGUAAACUCGUUCAAGUACUUUAGAGAACAAUUUGGAAAUAUCUAAUAAAGAAUUUUUAAGGGACAUUUUCGUCUGUAUACACAAGGAAAAUGUGUUUAUGCCAGCACUAUUUAUAUUAGCUAAUGACUGUAAACCCGAAGUGUCUCUUGACAAGAGAACAGAUAAUUUUUUUUUUUUGCGGUACGUGGGCCUCUCACUGUUGUGGCCUCUCCCUUUGCGGAGCACAGGCUCCGGACGCGCAGGCUCUGGACGCGC